UACGUAGGGGGCGAGCGUUGUCCGGAGUUACUGGGCGUAAAGCGCUUGUAGGCGGUCCACCAAGUUUGGGGUGACAGUUGCCGACUUAAUCGGCAAAGUGCCUCAAAGACUGGCGGACUUGAGGGCCACAGAGGGACAUGGAACUCCAGGUGUAGUGGUGAAAUGCGUAGAUAUCAGGAGGAACACCUGCGGUGUAGACGGCUUUCUGGACCAUUGCUGACGCUGAGACACGAAAGCGUGGGUAGCAAACAGG
rnacentral:rRNA from 1 species